rnacentral:rRNA from 1 species
UACAGAGGGUGCGAGCGUUGUCCGGAAUCACUGGGCGUAAAGGGCGCGUAGGCGGCUUGAUAAGCGUGCGGUGAAAGCCCGGGGCUCAACCCCGGGUCGGCCGUGCGAACUGUCGAGCUGGAGCACUGUAGAGGCAGGUGGAAUUCCGGGUGUAGCGGUGGAAUGCGUAGAGAUCCGGAAGAACACCGGUGGCGAAGGCGGCAUCCUGGACCAAUACUGACGCUGAGGAGCGAAAGCCAGGGGAGCAAACGGG